rnacentral:rRNA from 1 species
UACGUAGGGUGCAAGCGUUGUCCGGAAUUAUUGGGCGUAAAGAGCUCGUAGGCGGUCUGUCGCGUCUGCUGUGAAAACUCGGGGCUUAACCCCGGGCCUGCAGUGGGUACGGGCAGACUAGAGUGCGGUAGGGGAGAUUGGAAUUCCUGGUGUAGCGGUGGAAUGCGCAGAUAUCAGGAGGAACACCGGUGGCGAAGGCGGGUCUCUGGGCAACAACUGACGCUGAGGAGCGAAAGCGUGGGGAGCGAACAGG